rnacentral:rRNA from 1 species
GACGAACGCUGGCGGCGUGCUUAACACAUGCAAGUCGAACGGAAAGGCCCUGCUUUUGUGGGGUGCUCGAGUGGCGAACGGGUGAGUAACACGUGAGUAACCUGCCCCUGACUUUGGGAUAACUUCAGGAAACUGGGGCUAAUACCGGAUAGGAGCUCCUGCUGCAUGGUGGGGGUUAGAAAGUUUCGGCGGUUGGGGAUGGACUCGCGGCUUAUCAGCUUGUUGGUGGGGUAGUGGCUUACCAAGGCUUUGACGGGUAGCCGGCCUGAGAGGGUGACCGGCCACAUUGGGACUGAGAUACGGCCCAGACUCCUACGGGAGGCAGCAGUGGGGAAUAUUGCACAAUGGGCGGAAGCCUGAUGCAGCAACGCCGCGUGCGGGAUGACGGCCUUCGGGUUGUAAACCGCUUUCGCCUGUGACGAAGCGUGAGUGACGGUAAUGGGUAAAGAAGCACCGGCUAACUACGUG